rnacentral:rRNA from 1 species
GACGAACGCUGGCGGCGUGCUUAACUCAUGCAAGUCGAACGAUGAAAGAGGAGCUUGCUCCUCUGGAUUAGUGGCGAACGGGUGAGUAACACGUGAGCAAUCUGCCCCUGACUCCGGAAUAACUACGGGAAACUGUAGCUAAUACCGGAUAUGCGCCGAACAGGCAUCUGUAUCGGUGGGAAAGAAUUUCGGUCAGGGAUGAGCUCGCGGCCUAUCAGCUUGUUGGUGAGGUAACGGCUCACCAAGGCGACGACGGGUAGCCGGCCUGAGAGGGUGACCGGCCACAAGGGGACGAGAGCGGGGCCCGGCGUCGUACGGGGGGGAGCGGUGGGGAAUGUGAAACAGGGGGGGCAAGCCGAGGGAAGCAGCGCCGGGGGGGGAAGGAGGGCCUGGGGUUUGUAAACCUUUUUGGGGGGGAAAGAAGGGAAAGUGACGGUACGUGAAAAAAAAGCCCGGGCUAACUCCGUG